rnacentral:rRNA from 1 species
UUGGGAAUUUUGCACAAUGGAGGCAACUCUGAUGCAGCAACACUGCGUGAAGGAUGAAGGUUUUCGGAUCGUAAACUUCUUUUAUCAGGGAAUAAUCUUGAAGGUACCUGAUGAAUAAGCACCGGCUAACUACGUGCCAGCAGCCGCGGUAACACGUAGGGUGCAAACGUUAUCCGGAUUUAUUGGGCGUAAAGAGCUCGUAGGUGGUUUGACAAGUUGGAUAUUAAAUCUCCCGGCUCAACUGGGAAGCUGUAUUCAAAACUGUCUGACUAGAGGUAUGUAGGGGCAGAUGGAACUUACGGUGUAGCGGUAAAAUGCGUAGAUAUCGUAAGGAACGCCGAUGGUGAAGACGAUCUGCUGGACAUCACCUGACACUGAGGAGCGAAAGCGUGGGUAGCGAUCGGG